rnacentral:lncRNA from 1 species
CUUAAGUUACUUCUUUUAUUUUUUUAUUACAUUUUAUUUAUUAUUAUAUAAAAAUAGGUUAUGUACAGUCUAGUACAAAAAGGUUUUCACCUAAGUGAAAAUUAUUCAGCUUCCUUACAAUACUUCAAUCCAAUGAGAUUACUUUUUUCAGACACACAUUAGAACAUAGUGUGGGGCGAUUCCAUUAGGUUUUAUCUUAGGAUUGGGGGGCAGGUAAGUUUUAUCUCGCAUGCAUAACUAUGUUUGUCAGCAAGAUGAUUUUGGCUGUUCUGUAAGGAAUUUUUGUUUUAUUAAUAAUAAACUAAAAUAUUUUGUUAUUAAUAUAACACAAAUGAUGCACAGUAACCACAUAGUCAUACUCAAGAGAUAAGCUGCUGUUGUGCUCGUAUGCAAAUUGAUUAACAAGUGAAAGUCAUUUUCUGUUGAGUGUGCAAAGGAUAACUAGUCUUAUUUUAUAUAUUUUUGUGUAUUUGUGAAACACUCAGUGGCAUUUAUGCCCAAACCAAUCGACAAUAGCAUCAGAAAACUAAUAAUUCAACAUAGACAGGAAGGGAAAAGUGUCAAACAAAUUGCCGAAAUAUUUAAAAUAAGCACACGAAUUGUAAUAAAAAUAUGCAGGUGGUAUGAAGAAACAGGAUCUGUUUCUGCAGCAAAAUCAACAGAAAGAUCAAGAUUGACAACAGCCGAAGAUGAUGAACAUUUGAGGCAAAUUAGUAAGCAGAAUCCCUUUAAAUUGGCCAGAGUCAGAUAAUGCCAAUUCUGAUUUCAUGUCUCUAUAGACACUGUUAAAAGAUGGUAUGUAGUUUUCUAAAAUAUAAUUGUAUUGUGUGGAUUAACUUACUUAAUAAAAUAUCGAUCAAUUAUU